rnacentral:rRNA from 1 species
AUUGAACGCUGGCGGCAGGCUUAACACAUGCAAGUCGAACGAGCGGCGGACGGGUGAGUAAUGUAUGGGGAUCUGUCCGAUAGAGGGGGAUAACUACUGGAAACGGUGGCUAAUACCGCAUACUAUCGGAUGAACCCAUAUGGGAUUAGCUAGUAGGUGGGGUAAAGGCUAACCUAGGCGACGAUCUCUAGCUGGUCUGAGAGGAUGAUCAGCCAAACUGUGACUGAGACACGGCCCAGACUCCUGAGGGAGGCAGCAGUGGGGAAUAUGGCGCAAUGGGCGCAAGCCUGAUGCAGCCAUGCCGCGUGAAUGAAGAAGGCCUUCGGGUUGUAAAGUACUUUCAGCGGUGAGGCGUUACCCGCAGAAGAAGCACCGGCUAACUCCGUGCCAGCAGCCGCGGUAAUAC